ACUGUAGCUCGCGAACUCUCUGGGCUCUUCGCGAGUUCGCCACAUGCUUUUCGGGGCCGUCUGAAAUCCAAGGUAUUCAGGAUAGCUAGCAUGAAUUUAUGACAAUGUUCGCUACAGUUCGCGUUCCUGCUCGGUUGGUUCGCUGCUGUGUGGUAUGCACGAAGCUGAACGGAGUCUCCCGUCCGAUUGCAUCAUUCGAAGCCGGCAAAACUUUACAGUAUGCGGGGGCGAACCAGCGGAUACGUCAGUUCCACGCAUCGUCUAGUCUGUGCAGGAGGGACUACUACGAGGUUCUUGGCGUGCCCAAAAACUCCAAUCAAAAAGACAUCAAAAAGGCGUACUACCAGCUCGCAAAGAAGUACCACCCAGACACUAACAAGGGGGACCCUGAAGCAGCAAAGAAGUUCCAGGAGGUCUCUGAAGCCUAUGAGAUACUGAGCGAUGACUCCAAGAGGCAGCAGUACGACCAGUGGGGCACAACGUCGGACUUCCCCGGAGGAGCGGGAGCCGGAGCGGGUGCCGGAGCGGGCUCCCAAGGCACCUGGGGUCCGGGAGGUUUCCACUCCACCAUCGACCCCGAAGAACUCUUCCGCAAGAUCUUCGGCGACCUGGGGUCGCGGACGGGAUUCUCGGACUUCGACUUCUCAGAAUCCCAGUUCGGCUUCGGCGGAGCGCAGGAGGUGAUUCUGAAUCUGACCUUCCAACAAGCGGCCCGUGGGGUGAACAAGGACGUCAACGUGAACGUCGUCGACACAUGUCCACGGUGUCAGGGGUCCCGCAGCGAGCCUGGUAGCCGCGCCGUCCGAUGCCCCUACUGCAACGGCAGCGGCAUGGAGACGAUCAGCACUGGCCCCUUCGUGAUGCGCAGCACCUGCAGGCACUGCCACGGUUCCCGCAUGCACAUUCAGCACCCUUGCCAGCAGUGCCACGCCAAGGGCACCACCGUGCAGCGGAAGAUGGUGACCGUGCCUGUGCCAGCCGGUGUGGAGGAUGGCCAGACCGUUCGCAUGCAGGUCGGCAAGAAAGAGCUCUUCGUCACCUUCAAGGUGGCUCGGAGUGACUACUUCCGUCGGGACGGUCCGGAUGUCCACACGGACGCCGGCAUCACCCUCUCUCAGGCAGUCCUGGGGGGCACGGUCCGUGUUCAGGGCAUCUACGACGACAUCAUGCUUAAGAUCCCGGCUGGAACGUCAUCUCACACCAAGAUCCGUCUGGCGAACAAAGGGGUGAAGCGUCUCAACUCGUCUGGCUACGGAGAUCACUAUGUUCACAUCAAGAUACGCAUUCCUCAGAAGAUGAGUGACAAGCAGAAGGCCCUGGUGCAAGCUUACGCAGAACUCGAGGACGACACCCCAGGCACGGUGGACGGCAUCGUCAACACGAGGCAAGGCGACAAGAAAACGUACGCCGGGAAAGAUGAGACUCCGCAAGACGGGGACACAGGCUUUCUUGGCAAAAUUAAGAAGGCGAUAUUCGGAUGACCCGCAGCUACAUUUUAGGUUCCAGUCAGCCCCUUUAGGAGUUUUGAAAGGCAAAACUGCAAUGGACGAUCCCGAAGGCCUUGUCAGACAGAUCCGUACCGCCCUCGAAGAGACCUCUCUCGAAGAGCCUGUUGUCGAGAAACUGGAAGGCCAAAAUGACAGCAAGGCAUAGCGGUUUUUUUAAGGC
rnacentral:misc_RNA from 1 species